rnacentral:rRNA from 1 species
UACGAAGGGGGCUAGCGUUGUUCGGAAUUACUGGGCGUAAAGCGCGCGCAGGCGGCUAUCCAAGUCAGUGGUGAAAGCCCGGAGCUCAACUCCGGAACUGCCAUUGAAACUGUUUAGCUUGAGGACGAGAGAGGUGAGUGGAAUUCCGAGUGUAGAGGUGAAAUUCGUAGAUAUUCGGAAGAACACCAGUGGCGAAGGCGACUUACUGGACAUGUAUUGACGCUGAGGUGCGAAAGCGUGGGGAGCAAACAGG